AACUAUGUGCCAGCAGCCGCGGUAAUACAUAGGUCACAAGCGUUAUCCGGAAUUAUUGGGCGUAAAGCGUUCGUAGGCGGUUUGUCAAGUCUAGAGUUAAAGCCUGGGGCUCAACCCCAGUCCGCUCUGGAUACUGGCUGACUAGAGUUACAUAGAGGUAAGUGGAAUUCUUAGUGAAGCGGUGGAAUGCGUAGAUAUUAGGAAGAACACCAAUGGCGAAGGCAGCUUACUGGAUGUACACUGACGCUCAGGGACGAAAGCAUGGGGAGCAAAUAGGAUUAGAUACCCUAGUAGUCCAUGCCGUAAACAAUGAUCAUUAGUCGCUAGGGAACUUAGUGACGCAGCUAACGCAUUAAAUGAUCCGCCUGAGUAGUAUGCUCGCAAGAGUGAAACUUAAAGGAAUUGACGGGGACCCGCACAAGCGGUGGAGCAUGUGGUUUAAUUUGAAGAUACGCGUAGAACCUUACCCACUCUUGACAUCUUCUGCAAAGCUAUAGAGAUAUAGUGGAGGUUAACAGAAUGACAGAUGGUGCAUGGUUGUCGUCAGCUCGUGCCGUGAGGUGUUUGGUUAAGUCCAGCAACGAGCGUAACCCUUGUUUUUAGUUACUAACAUUUAGUUGAGGACUCUAGAGAGACUGCCUGGGUAACCAGGAGGAAGGUGGGGAUGACGUCAAAUCAUCAUGCCUCUUACGAGUGGGGCCACACACGUGCUACAAUGGUCAGUACAAAGAGGAGCAAGAUGGUGACAUGGAGCAAAUCUCAAAAAACUGAUCUCAGUUCGGAUUGUAGUCUGCAACUCGACUACAUGAAGUUGGAAUCGCUAGUAAUCGUAGAUCAGCUACGCUACGGUGAAUACGUUCUCAGGUCUUGUACAC
rnacentral:rRNA from 1 species